rnacentral:rRNA from 1 species
GUAGGUCACAAGCGUUGUCCGGAAUUACUGGGUGUAAAGGGAGCGCAGGCGGGAAGACAAGUUGGAAGUGAAAUCCAUGGGCUCAACCCAUGAACUGCUUUCAAAACUGUUUUUCUUGAGUAGUGCAGAGGUAGGCGGAAUUCCCGGUGUAGCGGUGGAAUGCGUAGAUAUCGGGAGGAACACCAGUGGCGAAGGCGGCCUACUGGGCACCAACUGACGUUGAGGCUCGAAAGUGUGGGUAGCAAACAGGAUUAGAUACCCUGGUAGUCCACNCCGUAAACGAUGAUUACUAGGUGUCGGNNGGUUGACCCNUUCAGUGCCGCAGCUAACACAAUAAGUAGUCCACCUGGGGAGUACGUUCGCAAGANUGAAACUCAAAGGAAUUGACGG